CCUACGGGGGGCUGCAGUGGGGAAUUUUCCGCAAUGGGCGAAAGCCUGACGGAGCAACGCCGCGUGAGGGAGGAAGGUCUUUGGAUUGUAAACCUCUUUUCUCAAGGAAGAAGUUCUGACGGUACUUGAGGAAUCAGCCUCGGCUAACUCCGUGCCAGCAGCCGCGGUAAUACGGGGGAGGCAAGCGUUAUCCGGAAUUAUUGGGCGUAAAGCGUCCGCAGGUGGUCGGCCAAGUCUGCUGUCAAAUCAGGUUGCUUAACGACCUAAAGGCGGUGGAAACUGGCAGACUAGAGAGCAGUAGGGGUAGCAGGAAUUCCCAGUGUAGCGGUGAAAUGCGUAGAGAUUGGGAAGAACAUCGGUGGCGAAAGCGUGCUACUGGGCUGUAUCUGACACUCAGGGACGAAAGCUAGGGGAGCGAAAGGGAUUA
rnacentral:rRNA from 1 species